rnacentral:rRNA from 1 species
GAUGAACGCUGGCGGCGUGCCUAACACAUGCAAGUCGAACGAAGCGAUUUAACGGAAGUUUUCGGAUGGAAGUUGAAUUGACUGAGUGGCGGACGGGUGAGUAACGCGUGGGUAACCUGCCUUGUACUGGGGGACAACAGUUAGAAAUGACUGCUAAUACCGCAUAAGCGCACAGUAUCGCAUGAUACAGUGUGAAAAACUCCGGUGGUACAAGAUGGACCCGCGUCUGAUUAGCUAGUUGGUAAGGUAACGGCUUACCAAGGCGACGAUCAGUAGCCGACCUGAGAGGGUGACCGGCCACAUUGGGACUGAGACACGGCCCAAACUCCUACGGGAGGCAGCAGUGGGGAAUAUUGCACAAUGGGGGAAACCCUGAUGCAGCGACGCCGCGUGAGUGAAGAAGUAUUUCGGUAUGUAAAGCUCUAUCAGCAGGGAAGAAAGUGACGGUACCUGAAUAAGAAGCCCCGGCUAACUACGUGCCAGCAGCCGCGGUAAUACGUAGGGGGCAAGCGUUAUCCGGAUUUACUGGGUGUAAAGGGAGUGUAGACGGCAAGGCAAGUCUGAAGUGAAAGCCCGGUGCUCAACGCCGGGACUGCUUUGGAAACUGUUUAGCUAGAGUGCCGGAGAGGUAAGCGGAAUUCCUAGUGUAGCGGUGAAAUGCGUAGAUAUUAGGAAGAACACCAGUGGCGAAGGCGGCUUACUGGACGGUAACUGACGUUGAGGCUCGAAAGCGUGNGGAGCAAACAGG